ACGAACGCUGGCGGCGUGCUUAACACAUGCAAGUCGAACGAAAAGAGGGAAAGAGCUUGCUCUUUCCGGAAUUGAGUGGCAAACGGGUGAGUAACACGUAAACAACCUGCCUUCAGGAUGGGGACAACAGACGGAAAAGACUGCUAAUACCGAAUAAGUUCCAAGAGCCGCAUGGCCCAUGGAAGAAAAGGUGGCCUCUACCUGUAAGCUAUCGCCUGAAGAGGGGUUUGCGUCUGAUUAGCUGGUUGGAGGGGUAACGGCCCACCAAGGCGACGAUCAGUAGCCGGUCUGAGAGGAUGAACGGCCACACUGGAACUGAGACACGGUCCAGACUCCUACGGGAGGCAGCAGUGGGGAAUCUUCCGCAAUGGGCGAAAGCCUGACGGAGCAACGCCGCGUGAGUGAGGACGGCCUUCGGGUUGUAAAACUCUGUGAUCCGGGACGAAAAGGCAGAGUGCGAAGAACAAACUGCAUUGACGGUACCGGAAAAGCAAGCCACGGCUAACUACGUG
rnacentral:rRNA from 1 species